GUCUUGUGAGACGACUGCUUCCGUUGAUGUGGUCGGAAAAGGGUGUUUGUUAUUUUUAAGUGAGGCCGAAAUGCCCGCUGAAAAGAGGCGGAUUCAGGAGCGAGAGAGACAACUGAAGGAGGCAGCAAAGGGGAGCACAUCACUGCAGGGUUGGCUACGAAAAAGCCAACAAGCAGAUGAGGAGCAGCCACAAGACUCCAGCCACAAGGAAGUUGGGGACCAGGAGGCGCAUAGUGCAGGUAGGCCUAAGUGCUGAUCACCAAAUAUGAGAUGAGAGGACCACGCUAGAAAGUACAGGGUUAAAGAGCUGCAUGCUGAAUAAUUGUAAUCUAAAAAGAACAUAGGCUAUUUUAGAGAUCCUUUCAAAGAUCUUGCCAGAGCAGAACAUGAAUAACCCUGCUUCUAAUGGGCAUUCAAAUAAUAAUGAUAAUGGUAAUAACAAUAAUAUGUAAUUGGAGAGAUGAUGAGCCCGGUGCAUCAGCUGCGUUCAGAGUGCCAGAGCCAGAGCCAAUCCCAGAUGAGAUCAGGACAGACUGGCAAAACAGGGAAAGGAGAGAUGAGUAACAGGAUGAGAUGAGGGAGAGGAGAACAUCAGAAAGGGAGGAUAUUGAGGUGAAGAGUGGGGCAGAAUCCACAGAUUUAGAUUUUUUGCUGAGGUUGGCUUAUCCCACAGAUCCAGCUCAUGUACAGAGCAGCAAUCUUAAAUACGAUCAGACCUUCAUCACAUUUUCCCUAAAAAUCUCCCUAAAAACACAAAUAAAGGGUGAUUGAGUGCUGUAUUUCAGUGUUUUACUAAUUUGUAUUAAUAUAUUAAUAAAGACUAGGGGUGGGUAUUUCCAGGUACCUCACGAUUCAAUUCGAUUCUUAAGGGCUUGAUUUGAUUCGAUUUUGAUUUGAUAUUGAUUCAUUUGCUUCGAUAUCGAUUCAAUAAUACAUGCAGAUGACAAAAAUACCUAAAUAUUAUUU